GGUAUUUUGACCGUGCAAAGGUAGCAUAAUCAUUAGUUUUUUAAUUGAAAGCUGGAAUGAAAGGUUGGAUGAAAAAUAAGCUGUCUCUAUUUAAUUUUAUUAUAAUUUUAUUUUUAAGUUAAAAAGCUUAAAUUUUGAUAGAAGACGAGAAGACCCUAUAGAGUUUUAUUUAUGUUUUUAAUAAGAUUAUUAGUAUUAAUUAUUUUUAUUGAGGGAAUAAAUUUAGUUGGGGUGAUUGAAAAAUUUAAUAAACUUUUUUUAUACAUAUACAUUUAUAUAUGAUUAAUUGAUCCUUAAUUUAAGAUUAAAAGAUAAAAUUACCUUAGGGAUAACAGCGUAAUUUUUUUUAAGAGUUCAAAUCGAAAAAAAAGAUUGCGACCUCGAUGUUGGAUUAAAAUAAAAUUUUGGUGUAGAAGCUAAAA
rnacentral:rRNA from 1 species